rnacentral:misc_RNA from 1 species
UGCUCGCUAAGAUUGAGUCGAAGCAAGAAACAUUCCGGGCUC